ACACGACUACAUUAGAUACCCGCGUAGUCCUAGCCGUAAACGAUACUCGCUAGGUGUCGGCCACGGUGCGACCGUUGUCGGUGCCGUAGGGAAGCCGUGAAGCGAGCCACCUGGGAAGUACGGCCGCAAAGGCUGAAAACUUAAAGGAAUUGGCGGGGGAGCACAACAACGGGUGGAGCUUGCGGUUUAAUUGGAUUCAACGCCGGAAAUCUUACCGGGACCGACAGCAACAUGAAGGCCAAGCUGAAGACUUUUGCCGGAUUAGCUG
rnacentral:rRNA from 1 species